UGAUUGCCUUGGGAAUUAAAUCAGUGCAAAUCAUCAGAAGUCAAUCAUCAGCAAUCAAUUGGCCCCCAACUUCCCCAGAACUCAAUCAACAGGCGGUGGGAUGCUGUCGAUGCUCAGGCAGCCCACCGACAAUCAAAGCGUACGUGUAGAUUCUAGCUGAGCUGGCGUUCGGGGCCGAGAGGCAAGUCUUUCAGCAGCCACUGAGGCCUCAACCCUGAUCUUGAUUAUUGCAAUGUUGCUGUAUUUUACGCUGGUGUUGGGUGUGUUCAGAGAGCGAGAAGGGCAGCCUUGCCAACCCUCGGGGUCUCGAGAGUGCGCAAGCCAACCACAUCAGGGAU
rnacentral:sRNA from 1 species